GUGACUGUGGUGUAGCGGCCCUGCACGCCAGAUCGUGGCUCUGGAGGUCCUCGGUUCGAUUCCGGGCAGUCACCCCA
rnacentral:tRNA from 1 species